AGUAAGAUUGCUAGGAAGCUGACU
rnacentral:siRNA from 1 species